rnacentral:rRNA from 1 species
GACGAACGCUGGCGGCGUGCUUAACACAUGCAAGUCGAACGAUGAAGCCGGAGCUUGCUCUGGUGAAUUAGUGGCGAACGGGUGAGUAACACGUGAGUAACCUGCCCUUGACUCUGGGAUAACUGCUAGAAAUGGUAGCUAAUACCGGAUACGACCCUCGGAGGCAUCUCCAGGGGGUGGAAAGAAUUUCGGUCAAGGAUGGACUCGCGGCCUAUCAGCUAGUUGGUGAGGUAACGGCUCACCAAGGCGACGACGGGUAGCCGGCCUGAGAGGGUGACCGGCCACACUGGGACGGAGACACGGCCCAGACUCCGACGGGAGGCAGCAGGGGGGAAUAUUGCACAAUGGGCGCAAGCCUGAUGCAGCAACGCCGCGUGAGGGAUGACGGCCUUCGGGUUGUAAACCUCUUUUAGUAGGGAAGAAGCGAAAGUGACGGUACCUGCAGAAAAAGCACCGGCUAACUGCGUGCCAGCCGCCGCCGUAA